rnacentral:rRNA from 1 species
UACGGGGGGGGCAAGCGUUGUUCGGAAUUACUGGGCGUAAAGGGCGCGUAGGCGGCCUUCUAAGUCGAACGUGAAAUCCCCGGGCUCAACCCGGGAACUGCGUCCGAUACUGGAAGGCUUGAAUCCGGGAGAGGGAUGCGGAAUUCCAGGUGUGGCGGUGAAAUGCGUAGAUAUCUGGAGGAACACCGGUGGCGAAGGCGGCAUCCUGGACCGGCAUUGACGCUGAGGCGCGAAAGCCAGGGGAGCAAACGGG